ACUUAAGUAGUUUAAAUAAAAUAUCGAUUUGUGAUAUCGAUGAUAUAAAUUGUUUAUCUUGGGUC
rnacentral:tRNA from 1 species